CAGAAUCUACAAAUGAGAAAGAAAGCCAGUAGUUUAUCCUCCUUCUUUGUUGGGUUAUGAGGCUGGGAGGAAAGGAAGUCUUGGAUUCUGUUGCCAUAGGUGGAGAAAAUCAGGGGCUUAAUACAUCUCCUUACUAGGAUGAUGCUAACAAAGGCUGUUCGUCCUAAAUAUUGUCUGCAAAGCAGCUGCUGCUGUUAUUUUUCCUUUGUUGUGGUUGACCUCAAUUAGAAAGACUAUUUUAUGGCAGGAAGAAGCUGUAGUCCCAUUUAUUUUGAUUGUACUACAUGAGAAGCUCUAAAAUCAGAGGGUUAACUCUAUCAUUUACGGAGAAUAGGAAUUUUCAGAAGUGAAUGUGUGAGACUGGGCACAACGCCAUUGUAAUUAUACCUAAGGCAGGGACAUGCCACUUGGAAGUACAUAUACUUUUUUUUUAUGAGUCUGGGAAGUUGAGUAAAACCUCUCAAGGCUGUCAAAGCUUUCUCUUCUGUGCUCAAUAAAUAGAUAUGAAGACAUGAGUAAGUUACUUUCAUUCCUGAGAUUGGAGUCAUCUCACCCGUGGAAAUCAGGCGCCUGGGUUCCAUGAUUUCUAAAGUCCUAUCUAACUCAAUCAUGCUGUAAUUCUAACCCUUGAAAUUUUUGGUAACCACAGAACAUUCUAAUGAAGAAACAGCAUAUUGUCGCUCAUUACCUUAGGUGAAACUCUUGCUAACUGGCAGAUUGACAUGUCUAAUUGCAGCUGCCAUUCACUCAAAUGUUAAUAUGGAUAUAGGGUUGUAUUUGUUUAUGGUAGAGUUGUAGGGAAACAUAAUGUUUCUAUGAACAUUUCACUAUUUAUUUUGCUAAAAUAUUUUGAGCUUAUUGGUUUUGAUAAAUAAUAUGUUAACAUUAACCUUAUUAUAAGGUAAUAGUAUAUUUUUUGAGCUUAAAUGCAAAAGAAUCCCAAGUGACAUUGUAAGAGAAAUUCUAUGCGAAUUUAUGUGUGUGUGUGUGUCUGCAAAUGCACAUAUGAACGUAUGAAGUUUCCCAACAGCAAUAGAAGUUGUGAUGAUACCACAAAUAAAUUCAGUGACUUUCAUAUUCUUCCCUUUUAAUCCAGAGUAAAGUAUUGUGGUCUGAGGGAUCUCUUUGAUUUAUAAAUCUGAUAAUAUUUCUAUUUGCUUAAGAGUUUCAAAUUACCUUAGUAUAAAGUACAAACUUCUUAACAUAAAAUACACCUCAAUACCAGAAUUUGUUAGCCUGUAUAAGCUUUAUGUCCACUGUUCCUCUAUCUGAUACAAUCUAAGAUCCAGCUAUUCUGACCUACUUUUAAAUGCCUGAAUUUUCUAUUUUCUUUCCAGUGUUAAGCCUUUUCAGGGUCGGUCUCCUUUGGCAGAAGUAUCCUUCCCUUGCCUCCUUUCCCGUGAACUCCUUUGCAUUCAGGUGUCAGCUAGAUACAUUUGAUUUUCAAUGAAGGGGAUUAUAAUUCUUUCACAAUAUCGGUUCUGCAUCUGACCACAAAGGCAGACUGAAGAUUCUAAUUAAUUAAUUAGUUAAUUAAUUAACUAAUUGAUAAUUAUGGAGCAUCUACUACCACUGUGUAAAAGUGACACAAGGAAACAUAAAUAGGAACAAGAUAUAAACCCUUGUUAAAGAAAGAAAUGUGGAAAACACACACAUUAAUAUUAUAGAAUAUCACGUGUGAAAUCCAAAUGCUAUGAAGGUUUAGAAUAGAGGGAGUUACAUUUUGUUAAAUUUAGGAAGCAAUUUAUUUUGAUAUUAUCAUGUUUAAAGUUUGCAAGCUGUAUUGGCCCCAAAGAACUUUAGCUCUGAAAGGUACCUCUCAGGCUACCCUUGGGUGAUUGGCCAAAGAUCAAAUAAGGAGGUCUUAGAUCCCCAAAUUCCAGUUCAUUUCGAGUAGCUCCACUUUAUUCUGUGGCUUAAAUUUUGAAAACCACUGAUGUUUUGACUGGAAUAAUGGUAUAUUAUGACAUUAAUGGAUAUUCUCAAGGUGUUUUUCACUUUCAGGAAAAUUGAUGUAUAACAAAUGUAUCCUCUUAAAACUGCACUUAUUUCCCAAGUAACUGACAUGAAAUAGUGAGUCAUCAGUUCAUGGCCAUAAAUGAUACUGAGGUAACUCAAGGCACUAUAUACUUGUCACGUGCAUUCUUUUAUUAGUAUUUAUCAGAAAUAACAUAUAGCAUUGUGAUGUUUAAGAACAGCUCAGUACCCUAUGUUAAAUUGCAAACAUGUCAAUAUUUUGUAGCAAGAAUUUUGGGUUUUUAAGCAGGAGAAAAGGAUAUUGAACUUAAGAAUGACAAAUUCCUGAAAUAACUGUGGAAGAAAAAUGACAUCUUAAUUACAGUACGACUGACCCAUGAACUCCACAGGUCUGAACUCUGCAGGCCUACAUAUACACAGCUGAUUUUUCAACCAAACGCCAUUUGGAUAUACAGUCUUCUCAGGAUGCAAAAUUUGCAUAUUCAUAGGGCAUACUUUCUGUUAAUAUGUGUUAUGUAAGGCUGACUGCUGGACUUGAGUAUGUGCAGAUUUGGGCAGACCUAGGGGUUCUGUAACCAAUCCCCCAGGUACACUGAGGGGCUAUAUUUCCUUCACUUGAAUACAUGUCAUAGUACAUGAUUUAAGCUACUUUUGUUUUCUGUCUUAAUCCUGAUUCAAGUGUUCACUGUAUGAGGUAAAUUAACUCUUCCAGUGCUCUAGGGUAGCAAUUAAUGCCACAGAGGAGGUAAAUUACUAGAUGGUACCCCACAGCUUUCAGAAGACUGAUUCUGCCUCAAAUGGUUAUGUUACUCUCUCUGGUAGAGAGUAGAUUACUCCCAAUGGUUCUUUAUAGGUCAGGAUCCAUUUUCAAGUGGGAAAUUAGAUUUCGUCUGAUUGACAAGGUAAAGCUUCUGAAGUGUGUCAUACAAUAGGCACGAUAAGCCUAUUGAAGACAUAAAUGUUGGUUAUGGAAGCUCAAAAAUACAGUAAAUAAAUAUGAAGACAUGAAACAGAAUAUUGGACAGUAUUGCACAUUUAAAGUUAGGUAAGCAAGUGAUUACAUAAGAUUUGUAUUUUAUCAUUAGCUGGAGGUUUAUAUCUUUACUAAGAAGCAUAGACUAUUUGUGUUGCUCCACAAAAUCACAGGUAGUAUUCGUUCCUCUCUUCAUUCAUUAUAAAAUAUAUAGAUAUCUAGAAAUGCUGAAGACUUUUACUCUCAUGUCCUCUUUAUGCAUGGAUUUGUGUGUAUUGCUUAAAUACUCUCACUGAUUUCAUACAAUGUUUUUUCUAUGGAUUUUACUCUUAGGAAAUUUUACUUUAUUUUGAAGUAAAAACUACUUUGCUAUAUUUUAUUUUCUCAUUAAUGUACAAAUAGUUUUGAGUGCCUGUUAGGUGUGAGACACUAAGUCUGGAAUCCUGCCUUCUUGAGCUUUAUAUUCUAACAGAGAAGAGUAGAAACAAAGCUACUAACGUAAAUUAUUGCAUUGUGAAAAGUGCAAUGAGGAAAACAGGUAAGGUAUGAGGUCCAAGGUAGACAGCAACUGGGGUCAGUGAGGUGGGGAGUGGCCACAGAUGAAGCCACCAGUGAGCACCUGCUUUAUAAGAAGACACGCUUAGUGCCGAAGAAUGUGAGGAAGCAGCCUGUCAACAGCAGAGUGGGGUGGAGUGAAUAUAUACAAAAUCCCCUGAGGCAAGAAAGAUGUUUUUGUAUCUGAGGAACUUCAAAAAGACCCAUGUGACUGGAACAGCGAGGGUAGUAUAAGUUCAGACGGAGGGGAAAGUUGGUGUCAGGUCACGUAAGGCCUUGUAAGCUAAAAUAAAGAAGCUGAAUUCUAUUCUAAGUAAAGUGGAGGAAGGGUUUUAGGUAGGGGAGUGACAUAAUCUGAAUUAUAGCAAAAAUAGCAAUGAUAUUAAAUAUUCAGAUAGCACUUAUUAUAUAUCAGAAAAUAGCAAAGAUGUUAAAUAUUCACAUAGCAUUUAUAAUAAGCCAGAGAUUUUUCUAAGGAUUCAACAUGCACUGAUUUUUUCCAAUAACCUUAUGAAACAGGACUAAAGCUCAGAGAAAUUACAUGAUUUCCAUAAAGUUGUGGAGCUAGGAUGUUGCAGAACCAGGAUUCAAGCCUGGGCAGUCACUUACCAAUGCAGUAGCUAUGGUUCUAUGGAUCUGUCUCUAUCAUCUAUCUACCAUCUCUAUUAACCAAUCUACCUGCAUCAAUAAUUUAUCUGUGAAAAGAUGUGCAUAAGCACCAUAAAAUGGCAUUUACAGUCAUGGGAAUAGAUUAUAUUUUUCAGAGAAAUAGUUAUUAGAACACUUAGGACUGAGCCCUGAGUGACCCUAAGAGUCGAGACUGGGUAGAACAAUGAAACCAUCAAAAGAAAUUAAAAUUAGUAACCAGUAAUAAGAGGAAACUCAGGAGGAAGAGGUGGCAAGGAGCUAAGAUAGGGGAGAGUCCUAAGACAAAAUCAGAGGUCAAUGCUGCUGAGAGUUGAGUCGAAUGACAUGAGAACAUCUGCUAGAUUGUAUUGUGGGAAGUGUCCAUGACCCUGAGAAGGGUUUCCAUGAAGUAGGAAGUUGACAUACAGGAUCAAGGGUGAAUGAGAGAGAAUGCUGAGGUAGAAUAGGUAGGCAGCUCUUCAGAAUUUGCUGUUGGAAUAAAAGGGAAAAACAGCUGGAGAAGAAUAGUGGGUGGAGGGAGAACAGGGAGCCACUACAGAUGCAGAAGAGAAAAUGCUAAUGAACAUGUUGGAUGUGUAGACCUUCUUGAAGGGACAAAGCAAGAGAGAAUUCCAAGAAAAAAAAUGGAAGGUUCAGCUUUUCAUGGAAGAGGGACAUUCCUAGAUCAUCAUACAAGACA